CAAUAGCGUAUAUUAAAGUUGUUGCAGUUAAAAAGCUCGUAGUUGGAUUUCUGGUCGGAAGCUCCUGUCCUCUGAUGAGCGUACAAGUGCGUCCUACCAUCCUUCUGUUAACCUUUAAGGCUUUCGCGGCUUUCUAGGGGCUCAGAUAUUUUACCUUGAGAAAAUUAGAGUGUUUCAGGCAGGCUAGCGCCGGAAUACAUUAGCAUGGAAUAAUGGAAUAGGACUUUUGCCUCUUCUGUUGGUCAUGAGGCUCGAGUAAUGAUUAAUAGGGAUAGUUGGGGGCAUUAGUACCUAACUGUCAGAGGUGAAAUUCUCGGAUUUGUUAAAGACUAACUUAUGCGAAAGCAUUUGCCAAGGAUGUUUUCAUUAA
rnacentral:rRNA from 1 species